rnacentral:rRNA from 1 species
UAGGGAAUUUUGGGCAAUGGGCGAAAGCCUGACCCAGCAACGCCGCGUGUGGGAUGAAGGCCCUCGGGUCGUAAACCACUGUCAGGAGGAAAGAAAAGUCGGCCGGAUAAUACUCGGUCGACCUGACGGUACCUCCAAAGGAAGCACCGGCUAACUCCGUGCCAGCAGCCGCGGUAAUACGGAGGGUGCAAGCGUUGUUCGGAAUUACUGGGCGUAAAGCGCGUGUAGGUGGUCGAGUAAGUCGAAUGUGAAAGCCCCGGGCUCAACCCGGGAAGUGCAUCCGAAACUGCUCGACUAGAGUCCCGGAGAGGAAGGCAGAAUUCCCAAUGUAGGGGUGAAAUCCGUAGAUAUUGGGAGGAAUACCGGUGGCGAAGGCGGCCUUCUGGACGGUGACUGACACUCAGACGCGAAAGCGUGGGGAGCAAACAGGAUUAGAUACCCGCGUAGUCCCUGAGCGGGCUGGCAAGGCGCAU